CUCUCAUGUUUCCCUUCAGAUCGUAUAAAUCUUUCGCCUUUUACUAAAGAUUUCCGUGGAGAGCAACACUUUGAGUUCAAACUAAUGUUUUGAUGCCUUGCUGAACGUGGGGCU